rnacentral:rRNA from 1 species
AGAGUUUGAUCCUGGCUCAGAACGAACGCUGGCGGCGUGCUUAACACAUGCAAGUCGAACGUGAUCCGGAGCUUGCUCCGGUGAAAGUGGCGCACGGUGAGUAACGCGUGGAUAAUCUGCCCUGGUAUCUGGGAUAACAUCUCGAAAGGGGUGCUAAUACCGGAUAAGCCUACGGACUCUUCGGAGUCUGCAGGAAAAGGUGGCCUCUAUUUAUAAGCUACCGUAUCAGGAUGAGUCCGCGUACCAUUAGCUAGUUGGUGGGGUAAUGGCCCACCAAGGCUACGAUGGUUAGCUGGUCUGAGAGGAUGAUCAGCCACACUGGAACUGAGACACGGUCCAGACUCCUACGGGAGGCAGCAGUGGGGAAUUUUGCGCAAUGGGGGAAACCCUGACGCAGCAACGCCGCGUGAGUGAUGAAGGCUUUCGGGUCGUAAAGCUCUGUCAGAGGGGAAGAAAUGAGACUGGCUAAUAUCCAGUUUUCUUGACGGUACCCUCAAAGGAAGCACCGGCUAACUCCGUGCCAGCAGCCGCGGUAA